rnacentral:rRNA from 1 species
UGCGUAGGCGGGUUUUUAAGUCAGGGGUGAAAUCCUGGAGCUCAACUCCAGAACUGCCUUUGAUACUGAGAAUCUUGAGUUCGGGAGAGGUGAGUGGAACUGCGAGUGUAGAGGUGAAAUUCGUAGAUAUUCGCAAGAACACCAGUGGCGAAGGCGGCUCACUGGCCCGAUACUGACGCUGAGGCACGAAAGCGUGGGGAGCAAACA